rnacentral:lncRNA from 1 species
UACUCACAGGAAAAUGAUCCAACCAUUUAAUCAGAACCAUCCUGAUGCAUGCUUUGGUUUAACCUGGCCCUAGUAAGGGGCUUGUGCCAUGCCUGCACCCUUGCCAGCUGGAACUGAGGCUUGUUCUUUAUGUGCUGAUACAGCAUUACAUCAUAUCUUAAGUUGCAGGAGUGCAGGCAUAAGGAUCUGAGGCGGACAGGAGUGAUCAUCUUGCAUUAUGAUUCAUUCCGCCAGUCUAGGCAUCAUUUGAAAUUCCUUCCAUGUCAUGAAGGAUGAAGAAGCUCAAAAGCUCAGUGUAUCAAGAAAGGAUUUGUCAAAGCUAGAAAUUUUGUUCUCUGUUUGGAAGAAGGUAUGCCUUGUUCCAUCACUACACCUUUUCCAGUUUUUGGGUUAUUUUAUUAAAAUCUUAAAGCAGAAAAACAAAGAUCUGAAUUGGAAACUGAAGAUUGAUGAUUUGCUUAAUUCUCCUAUAAUCGAAAACCAAGAUAAAAAAAACAUUGCUGUCAUUAUUAUUUUCUCUCUUUCAGUAACAACUGGGCAUAGCUGAAUCACAUGAAAUUUUGCAUAAUUAGACUUUGCAAGUUUCUGGUGGUGGUUAGUGUGUACUACUACUAGGUGGUUUGAGGUGGUUGGGCAGCUAUUUUCACAGGCAUGAUGGCUUGGCUUCAGAAGUUUAGUUCUCCUAUAACCUGAAGGAAAUAUUGAAAGUUCCCCAUGAAUAAUAACAAUUUAAUAUAGUGAAAUCACAUGAAGUUUUGCACAAUUCAGCUUCACUUUCCGUUCUGUUAGUAUAUGGUGGUGGUGGUGUCAGUGUAAUAGUGACCUGGGACAAGGAUUGCUCCCUUUCGUGAAAUGAGAAUGAAAAUGUAAAAUGGUCCAUCUAGCAAUGUGGUACAGUAGGAGGUA